AACGAACGCUGGCGGCAUGCCUAACACAUGCAAGUCGAACGAGACCUUCGGGUCUAGUGGCGCACGGGUGCGUAACGCGUGGGAAUCUGCCCUUGGGUUCGGAACAACAGUUGGAAACGACUGCUAAUACCGGAUGAUGACUUCGGUCCAAAGAUUUAUCGCCCAGGGAUGAGCCCGCGUAGGAUUAGCUUGUUGGUGAGGUAAAAGCUCACCAAGGCGACGAUCCUUAGCUGGUCUGAGAGGAUGAUCAGCCACACUGGGACUGAGACACGGCCCAGACUCCUACGGGAGGCAGCAGUGGGGAACAUUGGACAAUGGGCGAAAGCCUGAUCCAGCAAUGCCGCGUGAGUGAUGAAGGCCUUAGGGUUGUAAAGCUCUUUUACCCGGGAUGAUAAUGACAGUACCGGGAGAAUAAGCCCCGGCUAACUCCGUGCCAGCAGCCGCCGUAA
rnacentral:rRNA from 1 species